rnacentral:rRNA from 1 species
GACGAACCGUGCGAACGUUGUUCGGAAUCACUGGGCUUAAAGGGCGCGUAGGCGGCCCGUCAAGUCCCGUGUGAAAGCCCCCGGCUCAACCGGGGAACUGCACGGGAAACUAGCAGGCUUGAGUUCGGGAGAGGGAAGCGGAAUUUCGGGUGUAGCGGUGAAAUGCGCAGAUAUCCGAAGGAACACCGGUGGCGAAGGCGGCUUCCUGGACCGACACUGACGCUGAGGCGCGAAAGCGUGGGGAGCGAACAGG